rnacentral:lncRNA from 1 species
GUGGUAGUAUAAAUUUGAAUUGGUCCACGUCAGAACUUAUAUUUUUUCGGAAACAAGACGAGUUAAUUAUAAAACGUUUUUGUGCCUUUUUUUAUAAUAUACGUUUUGAGUUACUCUACGUUUCGACGAAAAUUUAGCUCGGAAUCGAGUCGGAGAGAUUGUAGUCUAUACUAUAAAUAUCACGGUGCAUAUAACGCCGCCACACGUGAAUAUUUUUAUGUACGUUUUGAGUGAGUUUACGUUUCGACAUAAAAUUUGUUUGAAAACAAGUUUGGUCAUAUAUAAUACGUUUUCGUUCAAUGGGUUAUCGUUACAAGUCUGGUCAUAAAAUUUAUAAUACAAGUCAAACAUAAUGCGUUAUCGUUAAACAGUAUAAAUUUAAUCAGGUCGAUUGUCGCCUAUACUUUAUUACGGUGCACACGACGCCGCCGCAACACGCGACACGUUAAAAAGUGGCCGCCCGCUGCGCGCCUGCGUAAAAACCUAGUUACAAAUUACAUUGUAGUGGUUCUUGUCUUGAAAAAUAAUUUAGGGUUUUUAAGUUAAUAAAGGUGUUAGGAUUCUUGGGUUUUAAACGUGGGUUAUUAGGGUUUAAUGCUUUGAAUGGGAUGGAGUUCAUGGUUCGGUUUCAAACCGCGAAACCGCCCAAACCGGUCAUUGGUUUGGUUUCGCAGUUGGUUUUUUCCCUAAAUUUUCGGUUGGUUGGUUUCAAAAAUCUCAAACCGUAGUGAAAGGAUUGGUUUACGGUUUAUACAAAAAACCGUUCGUUUAAAACCGGACCGGACCGUUUAUAUACACACACAUAUACAUGCCUUGACUUGUUUCCUUUUUAGUCUUGGGCCUUAAAAAAAGAAAAUAACCUUAUGUCCUACAUAGAGUCCAUAUAACAUAAUCAAUAUAUCCAUUUUUUUUCAAUUGAAUUUUAAAAGUAUUCAAACCUUAUUUCAAUUUGUUAUUAAGUCCGCCACUUUCAUUUUAAGAUUCAGACCAUCACAUUUUCUCUGUUUUAAAAGACUUUUAUGUUAAAUUGUCUUACUUCUAGGUCAUAAAAUGAUGCAUCCAUUGAUUUUCUCAGACUAGAGCCAUUUUUGUUCUAGGGUUUCUUAACUUACACUACACUGUUUGUUUGUUUGUUUGUUUGUUGAAUGUGUUAGUAGAAAGGGGGUUUCAUUUUGGGGAUGAGCGCUUUGUUUUUUCUCAUUUGGAAUUGAAAACCCUAGAAUAGAUAGAUAAUAAGAUAAAAGGAAUAAACCGUUGUAAUUAUUUUUAUUUGGGAGAGAUAAUAAAAUGGUUUGAUUUGGCUGUUAAAAAAAAAAAAAUACACCGUUGCUUGAAACAUAAAAAAAUUGAUAAAAUAUUUGUUUUCAAGCCAUAGAAAAUCAUGUUAACAACUGUACAAGAUAAGAAAGGGACAUCUUCGUCUCAUAACGGUGGAGAAGGGGAACGAUUUUGAUAUAAUAAACCUAAUGUCGCCGGACUUUCAAGAACCAGUUUUGACAUCUACAUGGAAUAGAGAUUUAACGACUUACCCGGUGUGUCAGUAAAAUUGAUGGAAAACAGGAUCUCAGAAACAUAGAUUUAUUGAAGAAGAAGAAGAAGAAGAAGAAGAAAUCGAGUCGUGUCGUAAGAAAUUCCUUUGUAGUCUUCCGCUAGAUCUGCCAUCACUCUUCUAACAUUGCUCCGAUUCUUCUCUGUGAACUAAAUUCCAAAAUUAGACCUAAUUACAAAAUCACACAGACUUACCUUCAAAUCUGUGCAAGAAAUAAGAGUGAAGAUGAAGAGGAAGCCAGUUUUGGGUAAAAGGUUUGAACGGAGAGGUGACGUGG